UACAGAGGUCCCAAGCGUUGUUCGGAUUCACUGGGCGUAAAGGGUGCGUAGGCGGUCGGGUAAGUCUGACGUGAAAUCUCCAAGCUCAACUUGGAAAUGGCGUCGGAUACUAUUCGGCUUGAGGAAUGGAAGGGAGACUGGAAUUUACGGUGUAGCAGUGAAAUGCGUAGAUAUCGUAAGGAAGACCAGUGGCGAAGGCGAGUCUCUGGACAGUUACCGACGCUGAGGCACGAAGGUCAGGGGAGCAAACGGG
rnacentral:rRNA from 1 species